AUGGAACGCUGGCGGCAGGCUUAACACAUGCAAGUCGAGCGAGCGGCGGACGGGUGAGUAAUGUCUGGGAAACUGCCUGAUGGAGGGGGAUAACUACUGGAAACGGUAGCUAAUACCGCAUACCAUCAGAUGUGCCCAGAUGGGAUUAGCUAGUAGGUGGGGUAAUGGAUCACCUAGGCGACGAUCCCUAGCUGGUCUGAGAGGAUGACCAGACACACUGUAACGUAGACCCGGUCCAGACUCUGACGGGAGGCAUCAGUGGGGAAUAUUGCACAAGGGGCGCAAGCCUGAUGCAGCCAUGCCGCGUGUGUGAAGAAGGCCUUCGGGUUUUAAAGCACUUUCAGCGAGGAGGCGUUACUCGCAGAAGAAGCACCGGCUAACUCCGUGCCAGCAGCCGCGGUAAUAC
rnacentral:rRNA from 1 species